CGUACUGAAUGUGGCAGACCCACUGACCAAGCCUCUCAGCCAGCAGAAGACCGAAGCUCACUUUGAGAAGAUGGAUCUUAGAUAAAUGGCCAAUUGACUUUAGAUCAAGUAGGCAUUUGUUGGAUUUGUACCUUAGAAGUUAAUUGUUGGCUGACACAUUAUGUAAUUAUUGGGCCUAUACUUGUACUUAUAAUUUUUUAUUAUCAAUAAAAGAUUUUUUAUUUUCAAUCAUAUUUAUGUGUUCAUGAUUUAUCCUAAAAAUUAAUAAAAAUAAUUUUUGUAUAUUCUUAAGGAG
rnacentral:lncRNA from 1 species